CACCUGUGUUGCAGCUCCCGAAGGCACUCCUCCCUUUCAAGAGGAUUCUGCACAUGUCAAGCCCUGGUAAGGUUCUUCGCGUUGCAUCGAAUUAAACCACAUACUCCACCGCUUGUGCGGGCCCCCGUCAAUUCCUUUGAGUUUCACACUUGCGUGCGUACUCCCCAGGCGGACAACUUAACGCGUUAGCUACGGCACUGCCCGGGUCGAUACGGGCAACACCUAGUUGUCAUCGUUUACGGCUAGGACUACAGGGGUAUCUAAUCCCUUUCGCUCCCCUAGCUUUCGUCCCUCAGUGUCAGUUUAGGCCCAGUAAGACGCUUUCGCCGCCGGUGUUCUUCCCAAUAUCUACGCAUUUCACCGCUACACUGGGAAUUCCUCUUACCCCUACCUAACUCUAGCCAACCAGUUUCCAUCGCCUGUACGGAGUUGAGCUCCGCGCUUUGACAACAGACUUGAUUAGCCACCUGCGGACGCUUUACGCCCAAUAAUUCCGGAUAACGCUUGCAUCCCCCGUAUUACCGCGGCUGCUGGCACGGAGUUAGCCGAUGCUGAUUCCUCUGGUACCGUCAGUUAUUCUUCCCAGAGAAAAGAGGUUUACGACCCAAGAGCCUUCCUCCCUCACGCGGUAUUGCUCCGUCAGGCUUGCGCCCAUUGCGGAAAAUUCCCCA
rnacentral:rRNA from 1 species